rnacentral:lncRNA from 1 species
AUUUGGCAAUAUCAAUAUGACAUUUUUGAAAAAACGGGUUGAGGGUGGAAACAAAAAGAUAGUUUUUGACAUUUUUGCUUUGUCUCCUUACUGGAUGGAAUGUUUUCCGUAUUGCAUCGAUGAGUGGAAUGUAUGUUUUGGUGUUUAGAUGAUGGUCCAGGCUCACUUCGUGAAGGAUGCCGAAAACAAGAACCACUCUGGAUUGUCUUUGAGGUUUCUGGCACCAUUCACCUUUCAUCUUACUUGAGCGUGUCGUCUUAUAAGACAAUUGAUGGACGAGGUCAGAGGAUAAAGCUCACGGGAAAGGGACUUAGGCUCAAGGAAUGUGAGCAUAUAAUUGUAUGCAACCUCGAGUUUGAAGGUGGUAGAGGACAUGAUGUUGAUGGCAUUCAGAUUAAACCGAACUCUAGGCACAUAUGGAUAGACCGAUGCAGCCUUCGUGAUUAUGAUGAUGGACUCAUAGAUAUCACCAGACAAAGUACAGACAUAACUAUCUCUAGGUGGGUUUAAACUUAUGCCCUAUAAUACGAUAUAAAUUUGGAUACUGAUAUAACCUAUCUGAUGGUUUCUCCUUCCCUUGGAACCAGAUGUUGCUUUGCACAACAUGACAAGACGAUGCUUAUUGGAGCAGACCCCUCGCACGUUGGUGACAGAUGCAUUCGGGUGACAAUCCAUCAUUGUUUUUUUGAUGGAACAAGGCAAAGACAACCUCGUCUUAGAUUUGGGAAAGUUCAUCUUUACAACAAUUACACUCGAAACUGGGGUAUAUAUGCCGUUUGCGCCAGCAUAGAAUCCCAGGUUAAUGAAACUUCGUAACUAUCUCCUUGAUCUUUAGAAUCUAUCUGAACUGCAUUAUCUAAUUAAGUUGUUUAUAUCAGAUAUACUCUCAAUGCAACAUUUAUGAAGCAGGGAAUAAGAAAAAAACCUUUGAAUAUUAUACAGAAAAGGUACAUGACCAUCUCUCGCUCAUUUUUUUGAUAGUUUGACAUGAACAAGAAGAACGUAGGUUCAUUAUAUCCACAGUAGCAUUCUAUUCUGAGGCAGGGUACAGUGACAAAAAAGUCACAUGAAACUUUUUAAUUUCAUACCGUCUGGUAUUUAUUUACACUGAAAGGAAUAUAAGCUAUUUGUACAACUUACAUCCCUUUUCUGAGAAGACAUUCUUUUUCAAAUGUAUAUAAUCUUCCAAUAGGCAGCAGACAGAGAAGUGGCAAAGUCUGGCUUCAUAAUAUCCGAGGGCGAUCUAUUCCUCAAUGGAGCUCAACCAUGCACAUUGACAGGGUUCAGUGAAGAAUGCCUGUUCCAUCCAAGUGAAUUUUAUCCACAGUGGACUAUGGAAGCAGCCUCAGAUUCUCUUAAAGCCAUUCUCCAAAUUCUUACUGGCUGGCAAUCCAUUCAUCGGCCAGCAGAGCAGGUGGUAACUGUAUGAUUUUAUGUUCUCACUACAUCUGUAACAGGAUUUUAUAGGUUCUAUAACAGAAUAGUCUUUGAUUAUAUUUUUAAUAAACUCCAGCAGAUUUGCUAUCUGCUGUUGUAAUACUUAUGAGUUUGUCAAUUUGACUUAUUAAACCCUGACAAAGUCAUUCUGUCGUAGCUUAAAGACAGAACCUAUCAAUUAUGAUAAGCACUCCAUAACACACAUGCCAUGUUUACAUGCUUGUUCUCAUGUAUGUAUGUAUGUAUGGAUCCUGUAGAUAAAGAUGUAUUUCCAGAUUAAUUAUUUCACGUUAAACGUGCAUAGAGAAAAGAAUUCAACUAGAUUGGCCGGCCGGCUCAGACGCAGUUGAGUUUAUUUGAUAUGGGAUUUAACACCUUUAUAUUUUGCAAUUGUUUGACUUUGUGUUAACAUGACCUAAUCAGUUUAUUUUUAUAUUUUCUAUUUGGAAAUGUCAAGCAUUCAAACAUAUACAUCUUUAUAUAUGAUCAUUUGGUUUGAAUUUAAAAUUUUCAUAAACUUCCAAAUUGAUCUGAAGGGACGUGGUGGGAAAUAAUGAAUCUGAAGGGAUAUAAAUGCAAAUAAUGUCAUUCAUUUCUUUCAUAAUUGACUAGAUGGUUCUCUAUAUCUUGGUUAUAGAAAUAACUUGAAGCUUGAGAAAAUUGGCAGUUCUUAUUCUCUCUGUGUUACCUGUAUUAGUUAUCAAAAUGGUACAGUUUGUCUUGUAAUAGAAUUGCAUCUAGAUGCGGAGGCAUCGUUGUGAAGCCAACAGUGACGAUGAAGUUGUGGAACUAACUGAGGUGGAAGUCCUGUGGAACAAAUCCGACAAGUAAUUCCCCAAGUCAUCUGGUGAAUAUCUUACCAACAACUCCAAAUUUUUCUCCCCACUCUGCAUUACCAUGUAUGUGUCAUAAAAUUCUUGAUAUCUUGGUACCAGUUUCUCAAUUGAAACCUUUAAGUCAUCCCUCAAUUUCCUAUCCUCUACAAUCCAUGAUGUCUGUUUCCUGUAUGCCUCUUCAAACGCUGCGUUGAACAUUUUAAAGCAUUCCCUUGCCAUUUCCGGAGAUGUUUCUGAUGACUUCUCUGGUAAUGAUGAUAACACCUUUGUCCAGGCUGUGGAUUCGUAGUUUGAAGCGUACAGUUUAAACUUCUUCGUGUGUUCAGUGACCCAAUCUUCACCGAGGAGGAGUUUCAGGUUCGGUGUUUGCUGCACCUUCUCAACAAUGAAUUGAAGAUUGUUGGCAAGGAAGAGAUAUGACAGAGACGCAUCUUUAUAAAUUUCAGCUUUCGUGUCGAGCUUGCACAUAAGGACUAGAAUGAGCCAAGCUAGGUGGACUGACACUGCUGGUGUUGAACCGUCAUCUGCCAUUGGGCUCUUGAAGUGAGAUACUUGAUUCUUCGGUGGUGGAUAGUCAGCAAGGAUAUCAGAGAGAGCUCCAUGGUGGUCUGCUAAUGAAGAUACUAAAUUCAUCACUGAUUGUGUCAACGGGUGAAUCCUGCCACCAGAGGCUAGAAAUUUUGAUGAAUCCUUUUGAAUGGUUGAUUCAAAGACAGAAAGACUAGACUGGACAGAAUCUGAAAGUUUGAGCCACGAUGCCAGAGCUUGUAGUUUUAUUGCUUGGGUUGAUGCAGAGGUAAAUAUUGAUUCAAUCUCUGGCCAAAGAUUGGAGAAUACUUCGUAGAGUUCCAGUUGCCAGAAAAUUCUUUCCCGGCACUUCUUGUUCUUCACUAUGAGUUCCGGAAAUCUGAAUAGGGUGGUUGCUCCUCCUUUUGUUAUCUCAUAGAAGCAUGAGUCUGCGAUUGUCUCAGAUGCUGAAAACACAUGAUCACAGAGAACUUUUUCUCCAUGAAAUAGUGCUUUCACAGCAAUCUUCGCAGCAUCCAUCCAGUUCAUGAUUAUGUUUUCUAGUCCUUCCGAAUCCAUUUUAUGGAUUUGGGAAGACUUGAACUGUUGGAUUCCAAGGCGAUACAAUCCCUCAUCUACUAUUGACUUUCGGAUAACUUUGUAUAUCUUCACACACUCAUGACCAUAGCCGGAACUGAUCAUACAAUCUGCUAUGGACUUCAGAUCCGCCAUGGCGAGAGCCGAGACCCUCUCCACCUCAGUGAUCGACCCACCAACAAUUUCCAACUCUUCUGAUCCACCCUCGUCUUCACCAUUAAAUGUGCAUGAUCCGAUUGAGGUUCGACUUGAAACUGAUUCAGGGUCAAGGUGACGCCGGUUUGCAGACAAUAUCUCAUAAAACUCCCUUUCAAGCCUUUUCAUAGCUGUUUGCAUUAGGUUUUGAGCAAGCACGAGCUUGCUGGAUGGAGAGCUUUCAUGAACCAAAACAUGCAUAGCACUACGCAAGUCCUUUACGGAUUUGAGAAGCUGUUUGGCCUCUUUUCUGCUACUCUGGAAGAUAGACGUGAGUUUGGUGUAUGAGGAGGAGUUUGGAUCCCAUUUCGUGAUGAUGAAUUCAGCUGUUUCGAUGUUUUCCUCCAUCAUCGAAAGAGACAAGGUCGGGGAAGGUUUUGGACCGGUGGAAGUGCUUGAAGGUGUGUAAGAAGAAUGGUUUUUGACAUGCGAGAAGGAAAAGAGGCAUGACAUUCCUUUCCUUGGUGUGAGUGUAGUACUACCACUCUUCAGGUACUCGGAGAGCAUCAUUGAGCUGGGAAUGGUGUCGAGAGAGAGAGAAAGAGAGAGAGUUGAGCCGGGAAUGGUGUUGAAAGAGAGGGAGAGAGAGAGAGAGAGAGAGAGAGAGAGAGAGAGUUGAUUUUAUGGUUGUGGUUUUUGGUUCUGGAAGGGUUUUAUAGAGGAGAGCCGUCCGGUUUCCAGUUGAGGGAGGUGGAUUUGCUUAUUUGCUUGGAACCUUACUAUUUGACUGACUCUGGAUCUGAUUUUUCAAUAUAAUUAAUCAAGCAAUUUUUGCAUCAUAUUUUUAGUUUUUUUAAUUUUAAAUAUAUCAUGUUCAAUGAAUCAUAUGGUCAAGCUGCAUGCAUUCUUCUAGUUAGUCAAAUUUAAAUCCCUUUGCUUGUAUCCAAAUAUAUAGAGAUUUCGCUUUCUGUUGAAUAAUUUGAUUUAGUAGUCAAAUUGUGAAUCUGAAUUUGCUGAUUGAGUGAUAUUUUCAAUGAGCGAUCGUCUAAUUAGCAAUUUGAACUAGUAUCUGGCUUGCUCCAAAAUGCAACUGAUCGAUAUUGUUAAUUUUAGAUGAAGGUGGAGUUGUGGUCCUUUUGGAAGAGAAAAGAGCUAGGGUUGGUUCCACAACAACCGGGAAGCAACCUGGAAAGAGCGGGGUUUGAUUAGUUAAAACCAUUUUUCAAGUUUCCAGUUCGUCCAAACAAGAACCAAACUAAUUAUGACUGACUUGAUAAACUAGUGUUUACUUCUAAUGUCAUCAUUCUUCACGCGACUCAUAAAUGGACGCUUUUAGAAAGAUACCUUGCUCACCAAAAUGUUAAGAUAAAUGUUAAAAAUGGAUGAUCUGUGUAGCUAUCGGUGUGACUGUUAAUCGUUUAAUAUAUGUGAAUUCCACUUGAAUUUACUUUAGAGUUUGUUAACCAACACUCUCUCAUAGAAGUGGAUUCUUUUUUAUUUAUUUAUUUUAUGAAUAAACGAUAUUUUCUAUACUAAGGGAAUGGGAUGGGUUUAGGCUAGUAAUAAUGUGGUUCAAACCCGCAUUGGGCGAUAAUCGAACCUAAAACCUCUUCAUUACAAACGAAAAGGAAUACCACUAGAUCGUAAUAUUAAGUGGCCAUAGAAUUUGAUUCUUAAAAUAAGAAAAUAACAAAUACUUAUUUGAAAUAUAUUCCCAAAGACGGUGCAUCUUAACCAUAAAAAAAAUGUUCCUCACUAUUCCGACAAGUUCUCAAUUACGUAGAUAGGUAAGCUUAUCAAUUAUCGAUGGUGAAAGGCUAAUUAGAAUUUGUCAAAGGUAUGCACCCAUAAAUCAAAUAAUAAUUAUUAUGUGCACCUACAUUUGACUUGCAUGCAUGAUCUCUGAUCAACGGCUGAAAAUAUGAGAGAGAACCAGUCUCUGGGCUGCCACCAUUGUUAAUUAAACUUCGUUUAUAAUUAAGCAAUAAUGUUUACCAAAGCUGGCAAUGGGGUUGAUAAGAUAGAGGAUAUCAUCAGCGUGGAUUGGAGAGCUAGUUAGAUCUCCACGUACAAAUGCACGUGUAAUGGUAUGAAUUAACGAUAAGAUUGAUUUUUCAUAAAUUUUUGUGUUAUAAGUUAUAACACAAAUUAGAUUAAUAGCAUCACGUGACGUUAUUGACGAUAAUCAUAACCAAAGUCUAAAAUAUCGAUGAUAUCAGAAAUCGGUAGUCUAAAAACAUGGAAAUUUCGAUGGAAAUAUCGAGAUAUUAUCGAUAUCGAUAAAAAUUGAAUAAAAACCACGGAAAUUGUAAGAAAAACUUGGAAAUUUUUAUUGAAACUUUGCAUGAUGUUUAUUUAGUCAAUUAUCUAUUAGUUUAUCGCAAAAAAUUGGAAGGAAAUGCAUUGCAUGAUUGAUUUAACUGAUUUAAGUUGAUUAUAUAGCGAGCUGACAAACAUUGUGAGUGUAGAAAAUAUGUAGUAAUUAAUGAAAGAAGUUUAAACACACCAUAAUCAUUUAUAUAUAAUGAAUUAGUACAAUAUUUUACACUUUAUACAUUGCAUGGUAAGAUACAUGAGUAACUUAGUACCACAUAGAGUUCCUAUGAGAUUCAAAAUGUUCACUAUCUUCAUCAUCUCUAUGUGUAUAGUAAGUGUAUUUUAGCAUAUUUUCACAAAAACAUAAGUGAUAUGGUGGUCAAGGUGUUGAAUGAGUAAAAUGGGAGGGGUUCGAAUUUCCUUGGUGUUUUUUUAAAUAUAGAAAUUUAUCGUAGAUAAUAAAUAUUAACUUGCAAGCCUUGCAGACAUCUUAACAACCAUAUAAAUAUUAUAGGCUGAAUAUGUAAUCACAAACACAUAUGUAGUGAGUUGGAUAAGGCCCAUGUGCGUGGUUGGCAAAGGGAGGGGUUCGGAUUCCUCUAUGCGCAAGAUUGAGACUUUUCAGCAUUUUUCAAAUAUUUUUGGGUUUCAUCUCGCAAUAUUAUCGAUAAUAUUCUAAAAAACGCUAAGCGUUAGUCGGGCCCUAAGCGGAUUUACGUAAAAUUACUAUAUAUGUUAUAAAAUAUGAGUAUAUUUGUAAUAUUUUAGGGUUUUUUAUGUUGAUUUUGUAACAUUUACUUAGCUUACAUAUUUAAUUCAUUAUUGGACUUUGCUUUUUUUUAUUUAUUCAAAUAUUGGUCUUUGCCCUUCAAUUAAUAACAGCCUUGUUUUCUUAUAAAAAAUAAAUUUAUUCUAUAAUGCUACAGAUGAGGUAAAGAAAAGCAUUGUUUACUUAUUUCUACAGAUCUCUACCCACUUUAAUAUCUUAUCAGCCGGUGACCCUUUACACACAAACCCAGAAAAUCUCUCUCUCUCUCUAGUUUUACCAGAAACCUCUAGCAAGGCCAGAUUCAGAUGCAGAUGCAAGUUGUGAUGCAGGUGCGUCUGCGAGUCUGAUGCAAGUGCGUUUGGUGCAGAUGUUGCUGCGAGAGUUGGAGUUGCAGAUCCUAAUUCUUUAAUCUCUUUCCCUUACUCCAAAACCCAGAAUCGCCCUCUCUUUUUCGUCCCAAAGCCCAUCUGGGUCCAAAAGCCAGAGCUUUUGUUUUUCGACGAAAAUGGCGGUGGCAACGCAGGAGCGGGAGGAAACAGCGGGGGAUGGAGCCGGGGCGGAGAUGGGAACUCCGACGACUCGUCUUCGUCGUCGUCGUUAGUUUCGGGAUUCGGAGUUCUGGGUAAGUUUCUCAAUAGGUGGAGAUCCCGAGUCGCCGCCGAUCCGCAGUUCCUCUUCAAGGUUCUAAUGGAGGAGGUGGUCGGAGUCAGCUCCUGCGUCCUCGGUGACAUGGCUUCCCGGCCCCAAUUUCGGCCUCAACGAGCUCGACUUUGUCUUCUCGACUUUCGUCGUCGGAUGCAUACUCAAUAUCGCAAUAUUAUCGAUAAUAUCGCGACAUAUUGACGAUAAUUAAUUGGAUACGUAUGAAAAUAUCGUCCUCUCACAAAAACGAUAUUAUCGGCGAAAUAUCGUCGAUAAUAUCGAUAUUUUAUACAUUGAUCAUAACAGAAGACUUCUCCUUCUUGUUACCAUUUUCUGCUUAAGCAUCUGGUACAUAUAUUAAUAUUGCACCAUUACUCUCAUUCAAUUAUAUUCUAUAAUUCUAUAACAAGCCUAUUAGAGAAACUUACAUCUAACGAGUUUACCGUCAUAUGACGUUCUGGUCUAAUGAUGCAUUGUUAUGUAUUAGUUAUUUUCAAAUUAUAGACCUAAUUCCUUUGUACCGAAAUAGGGCCGGUCAUAUGACUUUGUAUAAAAAAAAAUUAUUUGUUUUCACACGUAAGAUGUCGAUAAAAUUAUACUUAGAAAAUCACUUCAAACUUAAUAAUUUAGAAACACAAAAAAACUAAUUUAUUUUGUAUUGUGAGAAUUAAACGAAAAAUCUCCAGGUUUACAAGUAGAUAUGAGUUUUGUUUUCCAUCUUAACUUUUAAAAUGUUUUUGCAUAAAUCGUGAGCUGUUUUUUCUUAUUUACUAACCUUGUCAAUAUGAGAGUAAAAAAAUAAUGAUGUUUUUGAGUCUUUAUUGAUAUGUAUAAGUAAUAAAUGGGUACUAAAUUAAACUUUUUAAUGACACGUCAUAUGAUUUGCAAUUUGAAAAAAAUUGGUCAACGCAUUACUCUUUGUUAAAGAUUAGACUUGAAUUGGAACAAAUAAGGAUAGGCAAAUACCUAUUGGAUAUGGGUAACCAUGGUUACCCGCCCAUUUAAAUUAAACGGUUACGGUUAUGGGUAACCGUUUAGAUAACUAAACGGUUAUAGGUAUAACUGCUUACCCGCGAAAUUUAAAUAGGCGGUUAUGGGUAUUAACCACGGUUAUAAACGGGUAACCGUUUACCCAUUUGUUUUAUAUAUGUAAAAUUAACACAAACCAUGCUCUCGAUCUAAUAAUACUUAGCGCCCAAUAAAUUAGCAAGGAAUUCAUCGGUCAUUCUCUCAAUAACACUGCUACAGGAAUGAUGAUUCUCAUCAUCAAGGAAUUCGCCAAAUUAAUUUAAAUUCUUUGCGGGUAACCGUGAGAUUGACAGAAAUGCUUUAAUAGAAAUGUCUUCUAAACAAUUUUUGUAACCCAAUAAUACUUAGCAAAUAUUAUAUUUACCUUCAUUGGUAACAGUUAAAAAUAUCGUCCGUAAACUAUUAUUUCAAUUAUUGGAAUAAUAUAAGAACUUAAAAAAUUAAAAUAUGGAAAUGUAUGAUGAAUGUACCUAUAACGGUGCUUUAACAAUUAAAAAUAUCGUCCGUAAACUAUUAUUGCAAUUAUUGGAAUGGUAUAAGGACUUAAAAAUUUAAAAUACGGAAAUAUAUGAUGAAUGUACCUAUAACGGUGUUUAAUUGUCAAAACAAAAAAAAUUUUGACAAUAUUUUUUUUUAAUUUUCAAGUUAUUAAAAAAAUGUAGACGGGUGAAAAAGGGGUAAUGGUAAAAAAAAAAGAAAGAAAAACGGGUUAAAAGGGGUAAAUGGAUAAACGGGUAUUAAACGGUUACGGUUAAAUGUGUAUGCGGCUAUGGGUAUGGUUAAUCGUUUAUAAACGGUUAUGGGUAUAGUUAUAACCGUUUAGGCAAUUACCCAAUGGGUAAACAGUUAUGCGGGUAUGAGCAUAAACGGUUAUGGGUAAAUAAUCGCAGUUACUUGCCCGCCAUAACCAUUGCCCAUCCCUAGGAACAAAUGUUUAAAAAUAACAACCCACAUAGCUAAUAACUACUAAUUAAAAUUAAAUUAUCAACCAAACAAAAAUUCGUAAAAAUUGAAAAGAAUAAACAUGGACUUAACAUUUCGAACUUAGGACCUCUCGUUAAUUUUAAACAACAAAAACCAUUGAUUUUAAUUAAACUUCUUGAUCAUUUAGCCAAAUUGUAUAAAUUUAUAUUCUUAUGAAAAGAAAUUUGUAAAAAUUGAAAGGUAAAUAAGCACCUAUGAUGUUUUAAACCCAAGAUCUCCUCAUUAAUUUCAAACAACAAAACCACUAGUUCUAGUUACAUUUCUUUGUCAUUGAACCAAAUUUUAUAAAUUUAUACUCUUAUGAAAACAUAUAUAAAUAUACCACCCUAAUAAUUGGUGCCCCUAAUUUUUUUGAAUCCUGGACGGUCGCCCUGAAAGAACUGGGUCUGGCCGGCCCUGACCGAAAUAAGAAUAUAGACCUACGUGGACUGACUCCCACGCAGGCAGGCAGAUCGCAUAUAUUUUAGAUGUGCAAAUCUCGAAUAACGAACCUGUCACUAUAUACAAGUAUAGUGUCUUCUCAAAUAAACCAAAUAAGGGAGUUCAUGAAGAUCUCCUCGUUAGAUUCAUUCCUUGCAACUUUCAAGUCCUUGUUCUACCACCAGAUAUCCACUCGUUUCUCUUUUAUUCAACUACUAUCAUCUAUAAGAUUUGAAUUCAUCACGUCCUCUAAUAUAAAGUGGAAACUGAAUUUCGCUAGCCUAAAUUUGAUCUGCAAAACCCAAUUAGUUGGAAGUAAGUAUUAAUUAUUCACAAAUUUUAUACACAUGCUGAAGUGAAAAGAGAAUGGUGACAAAAAUGACUAAUGGUGCGACUCAGAUUCUAUAGUUCGAGUAUCACAGUGAUUAAGCUUUGAUACAGUUCACGGAUCAUUACUACAUUCAAACAUGAAAAGACCAAGUAGGUCACAAGGAUUCUUGAUUAAGGUAAGUAAUUAGCAGAGAAUGAGAGGAGGAGACAGUUUUAAAUUGGAUCAUGGUUCCAACCAAGCAUGCAAAUUAACUCAGAAAAUUUACUGGGUCGCAACAGCGACUAAUUCAAAUACUAAUCAGAAGCACAUAUUUUAAUCAGAAGCGCCAAUUUUUGUUUUUGCCAUUUAUGUCAAUUAGAUGCUUGGGAAUCAUGGUGGGGUUUUGUUUCUGAACAAAAUUGAAUAUGGGGUUAGAAGAGAUGAGAGAAUUUGUAGACCGCAAACGUGAGUUAGGCUAGUUGAUUAGGGCGGUCCACCCACCGAGCACGAAUUUCGAAUCGCCCUUGCCUAUUGGACUAGUUUUAGAUAUUCUUUUUUCUUGUAAAAAAAAAAAAAAAAAAAGGACUGAAAAAAAAAAAAAGGACUGAAAUUUUGAGAGCAAUACUAGCAUUUUUAGCUCUUUAUUGCUUUAAGAAGAUGGAACAAAAUGAAACCAUUCUUGUAAGUUAGAUGCCCAUUUGGUGCAAGGAUCUGUAAUCAAGUAGCAUAUGGCUGGAUGAGGGACCAGAUAGGCUGGAUUCCAUACUCCUAAGUAAUGCAUCUGUUUUUUUGCUUCUUACUAUUAGGUUUCGUUCGGGGCGGCUUAAGUAGGAAGCAAUUAUGUUCAUAAGUGCUUUUGUAGAAGUAUAUUUUUAUUUUAAAAAAUUGAAUUUUUAUGGAAGUGCUUCUUGAAGAAACAUCUAACAGUUACUUCUCCAUAAGGGCUUCUACGACCUAGAAACACUUCAAUAUUUUUGUAAAAUACAGUUGGAAGUGUUUUUGGUUGUUAGAACAUGCUUAUUGCCCUUUAAAAAGCAGUCUCAAACAUACCUCAAUCUUUCAGAAUACUUAUCAAAAACUAAAAAUUGGAAUGUACAUUUAUAAACAGCUUAUUUUGAAUUUUGAUUGAUAGAAAAAUAAGAUUUGGCAAUAUCAAUAUGACAUUUUUGAAAAAACGGGUUGAGGGUGGAAACAAAAAGAUAGUUUUUGACAUUUUUGCUUUGUCUCCUUACUGGAUGGAAUGUUUUCCGUAUUGCAUCGAUGAGUGGAAUGUAUGUUUUGGUGUUUAGAUGAUGGUCCAGGCUCACUUCGUGAAGGAUGCCGAAAACAAUAACCACUCUGGAUUGUCUUUGAGGUUUCUGGCACCAUUCACCUUUCAUCUUACUUGAGCGUGUCGUCUUAUAAGACAAUUGAUGGACGAGGUCAAAGGAUAAAGCUCACGGGAAAGGGACUUAGGCUGAAGGAAUGUGAGCAUAUAAUUGUAUGCAACCUCGAGUUUGAAGGUGGUAGAGGACAUGAUGUUGAUGGCAUUCAGAUUAAACCGAACUCUAGGCACAUAUGGAUAGACCGAUGC